UUUGAUCCUGGCUCAGAUUGAACGCUGGCGGCAUGCCUUACACAUGCAAGUCGAACGGCAGCGCGGGAGCAAUCCUGGCGGCGAGUGGCGAACGGGUGAGUAAUACAUCGGAACGUGCCCAAUCGUGGGGGAUAACGCAGCGAAAGCUGUGCUAAUACCGCAUACGAUCUACGGAUGAAAGCAGGGGAUCGCAAGACCUUGCGCGAAUGGAGCGGCCGAUGGCAGAUUAGGUAGUUGGUGAGGUAAAGGCUCACCAAGCCUUCGAUCUGUAGCUGGUCUGAGAGGACGACCAGCCACACUGGGACUGAGACACGGCCCAGACUCCUACGGGAGGCAGCAGUGGGGAAUUUUGGACAAUGGGCGAAAGCCUGAUCCAGCCAUGCCGCGUGCAGGAUGAAGGCCUUCGGGUUGUAAACUGCUUUUGUACGGAACGAAACGGCCUUUUCUAAUAAAGAGGGCUAAUGACGGUACCGUAAGAAUAAGCGCCGGCUAACUACGUGCCAGCAGCCGCGGUAAUACGUAGGGUGCAAGCGUUAAUCGGAAUUACUGGGCGUAAAGCGUGCGCAGGCGGUUAUGUAAGACAGUUGUGAAAUCCCCGGGCUCAACCUGGGAACUGCAUCUGUGACUGCAUAGCUAGAGUACGGUAGAGGGGGAUGGAAUUCCGCGUGUAGCAGUGAAAUGCGUAGAUAUGCGGAGGAACACCGAUGGCGAAGGCAAUCCCCUGGACCUGUACUGACGCUCAUGCACGAAAGCGUGGGGAGCAAACAGGAUUAGAUACCCUGGUAGUCCACGCCCUAAACGAUGUCAACUGGUUGUUGGGUCUUCACUGACUCAGUAACGAAGCUAACGCGUGAAGUUGACCGCCUGGGGAGUACGGCCGCAAGGUUGGAACUCAAAGGAAUUGACGGGGACCCGCACAAGCGGUGGAUGAUGUGGUUUAAUUCGAUGCAACGCGAAAAACCUUACCCACCUUUGACAUGUACGGAAUUCGCCAGAGAUGGCUUAGUGCUCGAAAGAGAACCGUAACACAGGUGCUGCAUGGCUGUCGUCAGCUCGUGUCGUGAGAUGUUGGGUUAAGUCCCGCAACGAGCGCAACCCUUGUCAUUAGUUGCUACAUUCAGUUGGGCACUCUAAUGAGACUGCCGGUGACAAACCGGAGGAAGGUGGGGAUGACGUCAAGUCCUCAUGGCCCUUAUAGGUGGGGCUACACACGUCAUACAAUGGCUGGUACAAAGGGUUGCCAACCCGCGAGGGGGAGCUAAUCCCAUAAAACCAGUCGUAGUCCGGAUCGCAGUCUGCAACUCGACUGCGUGAAGUCGGAAUCGCUAGUAAUCGUGGAUCAGAAUGUCACGGUGAAUACGUUCCCGGGUCUUGUACACACCGCCCGUCACACCAUGGGAGCGGGUUCUGCCAGAAGUAGUUAGCUUAACCGCAAGGAGGGCGAUUACCACGGCAGGGUUCGUGACUGGGGUGAAGUCGUAACAAGGUAA
rnacentral:rRNA from 1 species